GCCAACCUAUCUAUUGCUGCAAGCUAUCCCUCGCUGCUAAGCUAUCGCUGCCAACCUCUCUAUUGCUGCAAGCUAUCCCUCGCUGCUAAGCUAUCGCUGCCAACCUAUCUAUCGCUGCCAACCUAUCUAUCGCUGCCAACCUAUCUAUCGCUGCCAACCUAUCUAUCGCUGCCAACCUAUCUAUCGCUGCCAACCUAUCUAUCGCUGCCAAUUUAUCUACCACUGCCAAUCUAUCUAUUGCUGCUAAUCUAUCGCUGCUGUCAAUCUAUCUAUCACUGCUAAUCUAUCUAUCGCUGCCAACCUAUCUAUCACUGCCAAUCUAUCUAUCGCUGCCAAUCUAUUGCUGCUGCCAAUCUAUCUUUCGCUGCUAAUCUAUCGCCGCUGCCAAUCUAUCUUUCGCUGCUAAUCUAUCGCCGCUGCCAAUCUAUCCCUCGCUGCUAAGCUAUCCCUCGCUGCUAAGCUAUCCCUCACUACUAAGCUAUCUAUCACUGCUAAUCUAUCGCUGCCAACCUAUCUAUCACUGCCAAUCUAUCUAUCGCUGCUAAUCUAUCGCUGCUAAUCUAUCGCUGCUAAUCUAUCGCUGCUAAUCUAUCGCUGCCAACCUAUCUACCGCGGCGAAUCUAUCUAUCACU
rnacentral:sRNA from 1 species